AACAAACGCUGGCGGCGUGCCUAACACAUGCAAGUCGUACGAGAAAGGGUCCUUCGGGGCCUGAGUAAGGUGGCGCACGGGCGAGUAACGCGUGGAUAAUCUGCCCUUCAGUUGGGAAUAACUCAUCGAAAGGUGGGCUAAUACCGAAUAAUGCUGUGAGACCUCGGUUGAUCAGCCAAAGAGAGCCUCUGCUUGCAAGCCCUCGCUGAAGGAUGGGUCCGCGUACCAUUAGCUAGUUGGUAGGGUAAUGGCCUACCAAGGCGACGAUGGUUAGCUGGUCUGGGAGGAGGAUAGGCCACACUGGAACUGAGACACGGUCCAGACUCCUACGGGAGGCAGCAGUGAGGAAUCUUGCGCAAUGGGGGCAACCCUGACGCAGCAACGCCGCGUGAGUGAGGAAGGUCUUCGGAUCGUAAAGCUCUGUCGGAUGGAAAGAACCGCAUAGGGGUAAACAGCCCCUGUGUCUGACGGUACCAUCAAAGGAAGCACCGGCUAACUCCGUGCCAGCAGCCGCCGUAAAAC
rnacentral:rRNA from 1 species